CGUGAGGCGGAGCAAAACACAAAACACAGUCUCAGUUCAGAUUGUAGGCUGAAACUCGCCUAUAUGAAGUCGGAAUUGCUAGUAAUCGCGGAUCAGCAUGCCGCGGUGAAUACGUUCCCGGGCCUUGUACACACCGCCCGUCACACCAUGAGAGUCGAUAACACCCGAAGCCUGUAGUCUAACAGCAAUGAGGACGCAGUCGAAGGUGGGAUUGAUAAUUAGGGUGAAGUCGUAACAAGGUAAC
rnacentral:rRNA from 1 species